rnacentral:rRNA from 1 species
UCGACCUCAAAUCAGGUAGGACUACCCGCUGAACUUAAGCAUAUCAAUAAGCGGAGGAAAAGAAACUAACAAGGAUUCCCCUAGUAACUGCGAGUGAAGCGGGAAGAGCUCAAAUUUAAAAUCUGGCGUGCCUCUGGUCGCCCGAGUUGUAGUCUGGAGAAGCGUUUUCCGUGCUGGACCGUGUACAAGUCCCUUGGAAUAGGGCGUCGUAGAGGGUGAGAAUCCCGUCUUUGACACGGACUGCCAGUGCUCUGUGAUGCGCUCUCAAAGAGUCGAGUUGUUUGGGAAUGCAGCUCAAAAUGGGUGGUAAAUUCCAUCUAAAGCUAAAUAUAGGCGAGAGACCGAUAGCGAACAAGUACCGUGAGGGAAAGAUGAAAAGCACUUUGGAAAGAGAGUUAAACAGUACGUGAAAUUGCUGAAAGGGAAACGCUUGAAGUCAGUCGCGUCUGCCAGGACUCAGCCUUUUGGUGCAAUUUCUGGUGGAUGGGCCAGCAUCGAUUUUGACUGUCGGAGAAAGUUGGAGGGAAUGUGGCACCUUCGGGUGUGUUAUAGCCCUCCAUUGCAU